UUGGAUGUGAUGAAGAACUUGAUGUUUGAGCUCUGCAGUGAUGGUUCAUGUAUUCUUACUGUCUGAUCCAG
rnacentral:snoRNA from 1 species